GAGCUACACGCCACGCCACACCACCUUGGUACAGUAAUUCAUGUUAAAGGAGUCCCAAAUAAGUUGUACUGAAUGUAUAAAUAAAAAUACUUUGUGAAAGUUCGACAUUUUGUUAACUUUUGAUUGAUCUUUAGAAACAUUUCCACUAUUUGAGAUUACUGGAUUUAUGGUUUUCACUAUAUUCAAGCCCAAAAUCAUCAAAAUUAAAACAAAAUUGAAACUGUCACUAAUAUAACAAUUAUGCUUUGCUAUUUGUGAAUAACAUUCCUAUCAUCCAGCGGUUAACGAGACAUGAAUAGAUAUACACAGUCACAAAUACUGCAGGUCAGCCUUUAACGUUUUGCUUCACACUAUGUACAUCUAUUCUUUAUGUAUGUUUGAUUAAAGACACCUUGUAACCUUAAGAUGCAGUUUUACAUAAACUGCUCGUCUAUUUUGUGGCUUUGCAGUCAGCAGUGGUUUACCGUGACUGCAGUCAAUUUGACGUCUUUGUUUAAUUUCUUGAUUCAAUCUGCUUCUUGAAUGUGGCGUAGUGCUUUAUAGUGACUCCAGAUGAGUAAAAUGUCUCAUGCAUAAUUUAUGCAUUUUCCACAUUAUCCUGUUUGUGUGACAAAUGAUAUUCUGACUAAAAACAGCGAUAAAAAUAAAACAAACAAGCUGAGGAGUCAAAUUUAAAGAUGCACAGCGUGGUGUUCACAUUGUCUAUCAUCCAACCCCAGGACAUUUUCUGUCACAUCAAAAAGCUUGCUGCAAGCGCAGAUUUAGACAUAUGUCUCAUCACUUUCUUCUUUUUUUUUUUUAGUGAAAUGAGCGUUGAUGAAAGGCGGCCAUUUUGUUAUUUACAUUGGAAUGUGCUCUCCCUUCUAAAUUCAGCCAUGGCUUGAAGCAGUGUUAGUAUUUGUUGCCCCCCUCCACAAUGCCCCGUUUUAUUUCCUCCCUCCCACCCUUUGUCUUUCCUCCCUCUCCUUGUCAUCUUUGCACAAAGGGGCUGUGUGUCAUUUCUGUUUGAUGUGCAGAGAAUGAAUAAAGCAAUCUGUAACAUCUAUGUGAGGGUCCCCCUAAUGUGCAUACGGCGAUGGAGAAUAAAAUAUGGGCAUCUAUAUGAAUUACGCUCCUAACAAAUACAAGCCAUGCAUACAGAAAUAUAUAAUGUAACAUAUGAACCACACAUGCACGAACGAAUGGGACACGCUCACACACAUACCAAACGCACACACAUAUACACACAUCCAUGGUAAAAAGUGCUGACUGGCUCUCCUGCCUCCUCAGUGUGCCGGGAGCUUUCAGCAGAAAUUCCCAAGCUGUGAGGUCGUAAAAGAUUUUAGUCAGAAGUGUAUUUAUUUAUGUCUUAAUUAAAAAAAGUUAAAAUUGAACAAUGUAAUAAAUGAACCAAUCUUUCUGUGAGCUGUAAGUAAUGCUAAGCUCUCCAUACGCUCUUAAAAUGCACCAAUAUUCAAAUUAGACAAUAUGUACAAGGAGUGUAAAACAUGAUAAAUACAUGUAAUUUUGUCGUUCCAUAUUAAUCUUUCUUAAACUCAUGGCUUUGUUCAGUGCUUGAUUCUGAUUGGUCAUUGGAAAUACUAUUGGCCGGCUAUUUCUAAAUGGCAGAUUGAUCUUAGAAUGAAUGGACUGUUGUCAUGGAUACCACUACAGACUCAGGAGGAAUAAUUAUAGGGGGACCAAGAAUUCGAGCGAGACGUACCAAUCAGCACAGGGCUGAGUUAGCGAGACAAAAAUCCAAGUCAGACUCUGAGUAAUAAGUGGUCAAAUGUCCAGCUUCACAAAGAGUUUCUGCUCAGCAGUGUUGUGGUUAUUUGUCAAAUCUCAUGUACAAGGAGAGUUUCCAGUCUCUAGUGUUCAAGUACAAGUCAAAAUCAGAAAAGAGAAACAGACAUUGAGUUCCCAGUAAUGGACUCAGGGUCAAGCUAUGUUCUCAUUACCUGUGUCCAAACACGAGCUCAGUCCUUAUUACAUGUUUCAGGGUCCAAAUCAAGUCCUCUUAACAUGUAUCUAAGUCUAAGCCAAGUCCUUAUUACGUGUGUCUGAGUCCAAGUCUUCAUUAUGUGUGUUUGAAUUGAAUAAAGGACUCACUACAUGCUGUUGAGUUUAAGUCAAUUGUCUGUAAUUGUCCAAGUCAAGUUCUGUUCAUGUGUCCAAGUUCAAGUGAAGUCCUUAUUACAUGAUGUUUAAGUUCAAUAAAGUCCUCACUACAUGGUUCUGUGUUUGAAUAGAUUCUUUGUUCCAUGUGUUCGAGUCUAAGUCGAGUCCUCAUUAUUACAAGUCUGUCAUUGUGAACAGGGUGUAAUCCAUCAUCUGAUUGCCAGUGCAGUCAAUUCAGAUUACAAAUCCAAGAUAUAAAGCCCUAAUCCAACAUAAAUUACCAAUCCUGAAAAUCAGGAAUAGAGUCAGACACGAGUCCUAGAUUGAAGUAAUAAAGACACUGCUACUCGCUUUGAAAAGGUAUUAACUUAAUCUAAUAGCCCACUAACUGUACUUUUCUCCUGAAUCUGGAUGUACAUGGACAAAGAAAAGGUACUCUUCAAUUUAAGGGUCAAUGAAACUCCAAACAAAAUGCAGAGUCAUUGGUGAAGUGGUCAAUGCUUAUCAUUUUAAAUGUGAGCUUUGCUGGUUGUCUGUCUAGUAUAUUCACCUUGGGGUAGUGUGAUUACAGCCUAAAGCUAAUGUAAAAAACAUAGAAUCAGAUACUCUUUGCAAAAGUGAUGAAAAAUCAUUGUUAAUCCUUUUGGUUCUAAAAAUAUUUUCCCUUUGACAAAAAUGAACACUUCAGUAAAACCAGAAUUUAUCCCAACUCUCAAGCCGUCAACUAUUUGUCAGUUUUAGGAGUUCAUGAUCUUUGUCUGCUCGGCUUUCACUCCAUUUCUGCUCUCCAUGAAAGUAUGUGGGUGACAUUCCUCACUGUUGAAUUUUGUUUACUUAAAAUUCAGAGAAAUUUAGGGUCACAAAGCAAAAGGCAAUUACAGCAUCUCUCUUCUUAUGUGCGCUCUCAGAGAGUGAGAGAGAGAGAGCUGACUGGGUUGAUAAAUCUUUGAACUGAGUACCACAACAAAGCUCUGCCCAAAAUGCUCCUUUUAAUUCAAAAUGCCUAAAUGCUCUGACAAAUUCCUGAAAAAGGCUUUUGCAUUUUGGCCCCCUCUGCUGUUCACUAGAAUCUGUUUGCAUGUGCAGAAAUUAAGGUUUGAGUUCUGGCAUAUUUGCACGUUUCAUUCCUUUGUCAUGAUAAUAACAAAAAUGAUGAUGAGAAGUGCGAUAACUAUCAGCUGAUUGCUGUGAAUAUUUAAGGUUAGAAACUGAUUUUUCUCUUUGGCUGUAGAGGGAGACUUGAGAUUGAGUGUGGUUGCAUUUUUCUCCUCCUAUUGAAGAU